rnacentral:lncRNA from 1 species
GACAUUUGAUUUUCUUCUCCAGAAAUGAUUAUAGAGAAAAUAGUUGUUCACUCCACAAAUAGCAGGUGAUUAUCUACAGCAUUUUUUAGUCGAACUUCAUAUGUAAACUUCAUAACCUUAGUCUGGGAAGCAAUUCAGCUCUAACUCACAGUUUCUAUUGAAGUUCAUCUGAACUUCAAAUUUAUGACCCUAAGAACGCAUCGACCUUAGCAUUUGUUCUCCUUGACAAAAACUUCAUGCAAAUGGGAGGUUUUACUCCUGCUAGAGCAAGUAUCGAACUAGGCAAAGUCCAUAUCCCGUCCCCACAAAUCAAACCAGAAGCCACUGCUGGCCCAAAAGCAUCUGCCUUUGCCUUGUCAAUCUUUUCCCAGAUAAAUAGAAUCAAGCUUCCCACACACAUGUCGAUGGCAAAGUAUGAGCCAAUAUAGAAAGGUAUAGCCAUUGCCAUUGGAUUGGGAAUGAACCUAGCCCGUUUCUUACCCAACACAUCCUUGAUCAAAUUUAUCAGAAUAGCUGCACCGAAGAACCAAUAACAAAGAUAGAGACAAUUCUUUGGUAGAGACGAGAAUCCUUCUACCCCCAAUAUAGCCAUGUUUCGAAAUACAGUAGCAUAAGGAGCAGGGUAUUGACUUCCAGGAGUCCCCAGAUCCUUGAAGGCCUUAAAAAAAAGCCAAAAUACACACGGGGAAAUCAUGCAACCCAUUGCAGUGCCAAUUAGUUGGCUCACAAACAUCGAACGUGGUGAAGAAAGGGUCAAAUAACCAGUCUUGAAAUCUUGAGAUAGGUCAGAGGCUGUGGAGACAAUAUUCAUCAUGACUCCACAGGCCGCUAGUCCUGCAAGAACUCCACCAUGAGAGCCACCAGCCCAUGCCCCAAUUACAAAAAUUGCAAGCGUCCCAUAGGUGGAAGCAAGGGACCAAUCAGUGAGUCCACAACCAUAAGCAUUACAGAAUGCAAGGGCUGGGGCAAAGAUGUAGAUAACCAAUAUGUAAUACCAUUUCAGUUCAGGAAAUAUAUGCGGAACGGUGGUUGUAGAAAUGGCAGCAAUUGUGACAUAACCUGCAACAGCAAACCAUGUUGGAAUUUGAUCUUUGAGAAAGAGGUGGGUGCGACGUUGCUCAUCAUAGGAGAUCCUGGAUGUCUCGGGAGAGGAACGGUCAGCAACAGGCAGAGCACCAGUUGCAUCUCUCCCACGAAGUUGAAAAAACAAUGCAGCGAGUGUUCGGCUUAGAACCUUGAAGAAGUUGUACAGACCGUCACCCAAGACCAAGGCAGUGGCAAUAAAUACCUGUGUUCAAUGCAUAAGCGUUGGUAUGAAAGAAAAGGCUUCAAGAAAAUGUUAAAAAUCAUGUAAUGGGCAUUCUUGUCACCUUAACCUUGUUAGAAAACUUACCUUGUAACCUUGGAGGCCAUGUAAGCUGCCUGGUUUGAGGUCUGCUGGAUACCAGUCACCCUUUUUUGUAUCUAUGAGAGGCCACAUGAGACCCCAGGAAAGAAUUCCUCCAAGCAAUACUGAUAUGUUUAUGAUAUAUGGGCAAAUCAUUCCAACUCCAACAUAUGUUGCUGAGAAAUCAAAGAAAAAUCUGCACAUGUAACAAGAACAUUAUUAGUCAAAGAUACCACAACGAAUUUGAAACAGAAUGCCAUAAUAAAUGGAACUACAUUCAACAAGAAGAGAGGAUUUUGGAAGAUUGAGUAAUGCUUUUACUUGUUUUCAUGUGCUUUAAGACCAAGUGAGGGGAACUCAGCGAAUCCACAACCAUCUCCUGCAGUGUAGAACCAUUGAAAGAAACCCCACAAGAAGCUGAAUGAGAAGAACUUGCCCAACACUCUCACUUGUUUCCUGUAACAGUAGAAUAACAAAGUUCGAUACUCUUUCAUGUCAAAUGAUCAUCCAUAUAAGUGCAUGAGGUCUCAUAAUGCCUUACUUUGCUAGCUUGGCUCCUGCAGGAGUGUGGAAGCUGUUGAUGAGAUGGGCAGUUGCAGUGCCACUUGGAUAUGUCAAUUUGAAGUCUAUAAUCAUGACCUGGAAAUAACCAGGGUAACAAUGAGGAUUAGUUUUUGGCAAAAUCAAUACACUAGGCAAAAAUGUAAAAUGCAGAGAAAAGUUUUAUAUUUCCUAUAAUCAUAUAAAGAAAUUGAAUGCUGAUAUAGGUUGUAAAGUCUACCUUUCGAAGAGGCACCGCCGAAAAGAGUCCAAGAAAGCUAACAACAAACAAAAAGCCAAUCAUCCAAGACAGAGAUGGAUUUUUAAAGGCAUCACUAUCUUCAGUUAAUUGUUUGGCCACGGUUUCACUCAUUCCAAACAGAUAACUCCCAAAGCCUCCUAUUAUAAGGAAACAAGGAAAAAAUUAUAGAAUGGAAACCAUUGGUACAAAAAUCAACAAGUUUAAUAUCAUCAUAAGCAUAAUCACAAAUUAGCCGUUUCAUUACAAUAAUUAAUUCAGUUUCGAAACAAGUUUGGCAAGUAAUCAGGCUUUUCUUGACUAUUUGGAUAAGUUAGAAACAUAAUGUAUUCAUCUUGACAUUAUGUUAAUGAUUCACAGUUAAAGAAAAGGUUUGAUUAAUAACUCAAGCUCACAACUAGCAUUCUAGAAACAGAUAUUAUUCACAUUUUCCUUUCUUUUACUAAUGGAGAAGACUUCUUUUUCCACAAAUCAGAAUAUUGUUAUAAGACUUCCUGACAUAAAUCUGAACUUAGUAAGUCAUCCAUAUCCAGCGCAUAUGAAUUGAACUGUCAAAAAAGUAUCUGUCAAGUGACAUACCAGCUGCACCCCUAACAUUAUCACACUCCAGGAGACAGAGAUAGAUUUGUUCAUGUCUCUAAUGGUAAGUUCAAGUGUUGAUUAGUUUAGCAAAACUUCACAAGUGGUAGUCAUAAAGCCUCAAUUUUGAUUUGUCUCUCAAAGACUUUAGGCAGUAAGAGAUUCUUUGUCUUCAAGGAUCAUGCAAAUCUACUCCCAUCUGAGAUAAAAGGGAUCCAGAGAGAGAAAAAUGGUUGCCUUAUCAUGUAAUCUAGCAAUUAGAAGAUGGAAAUCUUGACAUUGAAUUUUAGUAACUACUGUAAGUUUGCAACCUUUAAGAACAGAAACAAAACCAAAUGCACAGAAAUAUUAAUAUCUUGAUCAAAGAAACCUAGAUAUCUCCUCAACUUCGAAAGAAAAGAGAAAGAAAAUUGAAUUUCAAAAUAAUUAAGAAAGAUGAAAUGAAAAUUAAUGGCAGUAAACAGUAUAGAAAGUAUACCACUAAAGGCAAUGCCAGAGGAGGCAACCACGCAAGUCUGUAUUACAGUGUUCUCUUGCCUCGUAAAGGGUUGCUUCAAAAGUCCAGACUUUUCAAGAAACUUUGUCCAGGUCUUGAUAAAAAAGAAGCCCAGAAGGCCAGCAGAGACAUUGAGGGAAGGUAUGAUACCAGUUGUAAGAUUGAGCUUCAUUACUAUGACGCAGAACAAAAUGCUCAACACGAAGCUCACCACAAGGGCCCUCAGUGUCAGCUGAUUCCUCCAUGAUGGCACUUCUUGGUUCUCAAAUAUUCUUUCCACUGACAACUCUUCUUCUUGUUCCUCUUUCUUGUCCUUCUUUCUGUGACCAUGAUCAUCCUCCAAAUCAUGAUCAUUCUCUACCUUGGUGUCGUCUCUUUCAUUACGUUCCAUUUUAUUUUCUUAAAAGAAUGAUUCUUUAUGGAGACGAAGAGAGUUGGGAGCGUGUUUAAUAAGUGGUUGUGAUUAUUGCUCAACACAUCACAAGCAAAUUGAAUACGAUGAAUAUGAGGAGUUGUUAAAAGUUAAAACGGGUUGUUGUAGUGAGUUUAACCUGUCUGUUUUUUUGGGUUAUUUUUUUUAAUUUUAUUUAAUAUUUUUGAAUUAUUUUAAUAUAUUAAUAUUAAAAAUAAAUUUUAAAAUAUAAAAAAUAUAUUAUUUUGAUAGUUUUUAGCAAAAAUUAUUUUAAAAAACAUCUAUUAUUAUAUUUUUAAACACUCUUUAAAAUAACAAAAUGACUCUAAAUGACAUGUGUUUGAGUUAAGUUUGUAAUUUUUAUAUAUGUGAUCUGUAGGUACUUUUAAAGAAGUAGAUUAGAAAUAUAGUAGAAAUUAUUUUUAAAAUAAUCUCAAAAUAUUAUUUUAAUAUUUUUUUAAAUUAAAAAUAGAAAUUAUUUUCAAAACAAUUUGAAAAUAAAAAUAUUAAUUUUAAAAAGGAAUGUUUUAAACAAGUUACCAAAUGGCCACUGAAUCCAAUGCCAAAAGCUUCUAUUUCUAAUUUGUGGAAGACGAGAAGUCAAUAGUCAAUUUCCAAAAAAUUAAAAAAAAAAUAAAGGGAAAAUAAAAGAUCUGUGAAUGUCCAUUGUCCAAAGUUUGUGGGAAAAAAAAUGAUAUAAGAAAUAAAGAAAAUGAUAUUAAAUUACUUAAAGAAGCUAGACUAGAAUAUAGUAGAAUUUAUUUUUAAAUCAAUUUAAAAACACUAUUUUAAUAGUUUUUAAAUUAAAAAUAAUUUAAAAAAUAAUUAUUACUAAACUCCCAAAAACCUUUAAAACAAUAAUCAUGCAUAUGAUAUUUUUCAGCUUCUUUUCAUAUUCUUAGGACAAGCCUUCAACAUAUUUGUUACAAGUCUCAUAUUCGCUGAAGCUUUUAUCGUCUUCCUCGACGCAUCUGAUAUUUUUUCCAUCUUUUUUUUUCUCGUGUUGGAUAACUAAGUCUGGCAUGGUUUUAUUGUGAGACUGAUAAUAACACAGAUGCACAUUGGACCACCUGAUAUGAUCAUAGCUAGCAAAAUGAGCAAACCUGAUACCAAAUAUAGCAACUGAUCAUAACAGCUCACAAAGGGUACUGUAAUUUUCACUUUUCACAUUGCUUGAUGCAUCUGUUCUACUAUCUUCUUCAAACUAGACAAGAAAAAAAACUACAAGCAUAUAUAUAUAUAUAUAUAUAAGUAAAUGGACAUUUGAUUUUCUUCUCCAGAAAUGAUUACAGAGAAAAUAGUUGUUGCCUUGUUGGCUCCACGGAAUAGCAGGUGAUUAUCCACAGCAUUUUUGAGUCGAACUUCACAUGUAAACUUCAUAACCUUAGUGUAGGAAGCAAUUCAGCUUUACUUCACAGUUUCUAUUCAAGUUGAUCUGAACUUCAACUUUAUGACCCUAAGAACGCAUCGACCUUAGCAUUUGUUCUCCUUGACAAAAACUUCAUGCAAAUGGGAGGUUUUACUCCUACUAGAGCAAGUAUCGCACUAGGCAAAGUCCAUAUCCCAUCCCCGCAAAUCAAACCAGAAGCCACUGCUGGCCCAAAAGCAUCUGCCUUUGCCUUGUCAAUCUUUUCCCAGAUAAAUAGAAUCAAGCUUCCCACACACAUGUCGAUGGCAAAGUAUGAGCCAAUAUAGAACGGUAUAGCCAUCGCCAUUGGAUUGGGAAUGAACCUGGCCCAUUUCUUACCCAAAGCAUCCUUAAUUAAAUUUAUCAGAAUAGCUGCACCGAAGAACCCAUAACAAAGAUAGAGGCAAUUCUUUGGUAGAGACGAGAAUCCGUCUACCCCCAAUAUAGCCAUGUUUCGAUAUACAGUAGCAUAAGGAGCAGGGUACUGACUUCCAGGAGUCCCCAGAUCCUUGAAGGCCUUGAAAAACAGCCAAAAGACACAAGGUGAAAUAAUGCAACCCAUUGCAGUGCCAAUUAGUUGGCUCACAAACAUGGACCGAGGUGAAGAAAGGGUCAAAUAACCAGUCUUGAAAUCUUGAGAUAGGUCAGAGGCUGUGGAGACAAUAUUCAUCAUGACUCCACAGGCCGCUAGUCCUGCAAGAACUCCACCAUGAGAGGCACCAGCCCAUGCCCCAAUUACAAAAAUUGCGAGCUUCCCAUAGGUGGAAGCUAGGGACCAGUCAGUGAGGCCACAGCCAUAAGCAUUACAGAAUGCAAGGGCUGGGGCAAAGAUGUAGAUAACCAAUAUGUAAUACCAUUUGAGUUCGGGAAAUAUAUGCGGUAGCGUGGCUGUAGAGAUAGCAGCGAUUGCGAC